GGGGCUGGGGCUCAGUGGUAGAGCACUCGCCUGGCAUGUGUGAGGCCCUGGGUUCAAUUCUCAGCACCA
rnacentral:tRNA from 1 species